AUUGAACGCUGGCGGCAGGCCUAACACAUGCAAGUCGAGCGGAGCGGCGGACGGGUGCGUAAUGACUAGGAAUCUGACCGGUAGUGAGGGAUAACGUACGGAACCGGGCGCUAAUACCGCAUACUCUCAGCUGAGCCUCGGUCGGAUAAGCUAGUUGGUGGGGGACAGGCCUACCAAGGCGACGAUCCGUAACUGGUCUGAGAGGCUGAUCAGUCACACUGGAACUGAGACACGGGCCAUACUCCUACGGGAGGCAGCAGUGGGGAAUAUUGGACAAUGGGCGAAAGCCUGACCCAGCCAUGCCGCGUGUGUGAAGAAGGUCUUCGGAUUGUAAAGCACUGUAAGUUGGGAGGCGGUACCAACAGAAUAAGCACCGGCUAACUACGUGCCAGCAGCCGCGGUAAUUC
rnacentral:rRNA from 1 species